GGAAUAUUGGGCAAUGGGCGCAAGCCUGACCCAGCGACGCCGCGUGAGGGAUGAAGGUCUUCGGAUUGUAAACCUCUUUCAGUAGGGAAGAAGCGAAAGUGACGGUACCUAAAGAAGAAGCACCGGCUAACUAUGUGCCAGCAGCCGCGGUAAUACAUAGGGUGCAAGCGUUGUCCGGAAUUAUUGGGCGUAAAGAGCUCGUAGGUCGUUUGUCGCGUCGAUUGUGAAAAUCUGAGGCUCAACCUCAGACCUGCAGUCGAUACGGGCAAACUAGAGUGUGGUAGGGGAGACUGGAAUUCCUGGUGUAGCGGUGGAAUGCGCAGAUAUCAGGAGGAACACCAAUGGCGAAGGCAGGUCUCUGGGCCAUAACUGACACUGAGGAGCGAAAGUGCGGGGAGCGAACAGGAUUAGAUACCCUGGUAGUCCGCACCGUAAACGGUGGGCACUAGUUGUGGGAACCUUCCACGGUUUCCGCGACGCAGCAAACGCAUUAAGUGCCCCGCCUGGGGAGUACGAUCGCAAGAUUAAAACUCAAAUGAAUUGACGG
rnacentral:rRNA from 1 species